UUAAUGCUAAUUGUGAUAGGG
rnacentral:ncRNA from 2 species